rnacentral:rRNA from 1 species
GAUGAACGCUGGCGGCGUGCCUAACACAUGCAAGUCGAACGAACAGACGAGGUGCUUGCUCCUCUGAUGUUAGCGGCGGACGUGAGAGUAGCAUGUCGAUAACCUACCUAUAAGACUGCGAUAACUUACGGAAACCGGUACUAAAACCGGAUAAUGUAUUGCACGGCGUGGUUCAAUAGUGAAAGACGGUUUAGCUGUUACAUAUAGAUGUGACUGCGCCGCAUUCGCUAGAUGGUAAGGUAACGGCUUACCAAGGCAGCGAUGCGUAGCCGACCUGAGAGGGUGGACGUCCACACUGGAAGUGAGACACUGUCCAGACACCUACGGGAGGCAGCAGUAGGGAAUCUUCCGCAAGGGGGGAAUGCCUGACGGAGCAACGCCGAGGGAGUGAUGAAGGUCUGCGGAUGGGAGAACUCUGUUAUUAUGGAAGAACAAAUGUGUAAGUAACUAUACACGUCUUGACGGUACCUAAUCAGAAAGCAACGGCUAACUACGUG